rnacentral:rRNA from 1 species
AAUGAACGCUGGCGGCGUGCUUAACACAUGCAAGUCGUACGAGAAAUCUUUGGGCUUGCUCGAAGAGAGUAAAGUGGCGCACGGGUGAGUAACGCGUAGAUAACCUGUCUUCGUGUCUGGAAUAAUACACCGAAAGGGGUACUAAUACCGGAUAAUCUUGCUUUUCAUAAGUUUUGCAAGCAAAGGUGGCCUCUGACUUAAGCUACUGCAUGAAGAGGGGUCUGCGUACCAUUAGCUAGUAGGUGGGGUAAAGGCCUACCUAGGCAACGAUGGUUAGCGGGUCUGAGAGGAUGAUCCGCCACACUGGCACUGGAACACGGGCCAGACUCCUACGGGUGGCUG